rnacentral:rRNA from 1 species
UACAGAGGUCUCAAGCGUUGUUCGGAUUUACUGGGCGUAAAGGGCGCGUAGGCGGUCAGCACAAGUCAGUUGUGAAAUCUCCGGGCUUAACUCGGAAAGGUCAACUGAUACUGUGCGACUAGAGUGCAGAAGGGGCAACUGGAAUUCUCGGUGUAGCGGUGAAAUGCGUAGAUAUCGAGAGGAACACCUGCGGCGAAGGCGGGUUGCUGGGCUGACACUGACGCUGAUGCGCGAAAGCCAGGGGAGCGAAGCGGG